rnacentral:rRNA from 1 species
AGGAUUAACGCUGGCGGCGUGCCUAACACAUGCAAGUCGAACGAGGUAGCAAUACCUAGUGGCAGACGGGUGAGUAACGCGUGGUCAACCUACCGUUGAGUGGGGGAUAACUAGCCGAAAGGUUAGCUAAUACCGCAUACGAGGCUCGGGGGCAUCCCUGGGUCUUAAAAGGAGCAAUCCGCUCGAUGACGGGACCGCGUCCCAUUAGCUAGAUGGUGGGGUAAUGGCCUACCAUGGCUCCGAUGGGUAGCUGGUUUGAGAGAGCGACCAGCCACACUGGGACUGAGAAACGGCCCAGACUCCUACGGGAGGCAGCAGUGAGGAAUUUUCCGCAAUGGGCGAAAGCCUGACGGAGCGACGCCGCGUGUGGGAAGAAGGCCUUCGGGUCGUAAACCACUGUCGAAGGGGACGAUAAUGACGGUACCCUUGGAGGAAGCCCGGCUAACUACGCGCCAGCAGCCGC